GUGAAAAGUCCUUUAUUCAGUUCCUUUUAAAUUACCCUGUUUGAUUAUUCUAUUUCUUGCUGUGAUCUUGACUAUGAUGAUAGAGCUAGAAUUGCUUAGACUAAUUGUAGUUUUUCAUCUGUAAAGUGAGAUAUUUGGGUUAGCAUCUGUAAAAUAUAGAAACUCAAGUUUGGAAAGGACCCUAAAAGCUUAGGCUUUCGAAUCAGAUGGAUCACAGAACAAGUGUUGGCUAGUAAGUCUGCCAUUUACUAGCUGUGUGGUCUGAGACAAGUUAUUUAAGCACUCUGAAUUUAACUUUCCUCAUUGGUGAAAUAUAGUUGAAAACCAUAUCUGUUUACAGAAUUGUAGUAAAAUGAUUAGCAUAGUGCCUAGUGACCACUCAAAAAAAGUCAGCCACUAAAAUAGAUGCUCUCUUUCUGGAUUAAGAGAUUGGUUCGCUGGAUUAAUGUAUGCUCUCCAUUUUCCCAUAAAACAUGCUGAUUGAUACCACAGCGUCCUGAAUAAUUACUACUAAUAUACCUCACUCAUUUGCUUGUACACUUUGGGUCUUAAAAGUUCAAUUACAUGUUUUGAAGGGUUGCUUGUAUUUAUUCCCAAAUUAGUUUUUGCUCAUUGCAUUUAUAAUUAUUUAAUUUAAUUAACUAUUAUGUAAACUGGUGUAUUAGUUUCCUAUUGCUACUUUAACAAAUAACCACAAACCAGUGGCGUAAAACAAUACAGAUUUAUUAUUUUACUGAAUGUCAGUCUGAAAUGAGUUUCACUGGACUAAAAUCAAGGUACCAGCAGGGCUGCAUUCCUUCCCAAGGCUCUAAGGGAGACUCUGUUUCCUUGCCUUUUCCAGUUUCUAGAGGCCACCUGCGUUCCUUGACUUAUGGCUGACUGCUUUCUCCAUCUUCAGAGCUACUAGCACAGUAUUUUCAAAUUACUCUCUGGUUCUCCACCUCUUUCUUUCACAAGGACCCUUGUGAUUGGACCCACCAGAAAAUCCAGCAUAAUCCUCCCCAUCUCAAGAUCCUUAAUUUAAUCAUAUCUGCAAAGUCCCCUUUGCCAUGUAGAAUAACAUAUUCAUACAUUCUGUGGAUUAGAGCAUGGACAUUUUGGGGGGCCGUCAUUCUGCCUACCUACAACUGUUGGCGUUUGAGAAAAGAGAGAGAGAGGAUGUUUUUUAUGAAACCUACUUUCUUGCUUUGGAAAGACUCAUUAAGUUAAAUUGAAAAAAAAAUGCCUUUAUAUUAGAUGUGGGCUAAAUAACUAUAAAAGUUUUGGAAAAUUGUGAAGUUCAGGAAGAAUUCUUCACUCAGAUUGCUUCAGAAGUGUCUCUAUGUUCUUGCUCCAUUUAGGGAAACAUACUGGAAAUCAGAAAAUGCAUUAUGGCUUUGAUUUAUGGGAGAAAUAUAGAGCAAAAAUCUAGUCAAUGAACUCAUUCACAAAGAAAAGUCCUUGGCUCUACACCAGGAGACUGGAAAAGAUACAACAAAUUUACAACUACCUUUGGAACAAUUAAUCCUGAGAGAGAACUGGAAACUGGAUAAAAAGAACCUCCACAACAAGCAACGGUGCUGACUGGGGUGGAAGAGGCAGAAAUAUCUUUCUGGAGAGGAAAU
rnacentral:lncRNA from 1 species